rnacentral:rRNA from 1 species
UACGAAGGUCCCAAGCGUUAUCCGGAUUUAUUGGGUUUAAAGGGUGCGUAGGCGGGCUAUUAAGUCAGUGGUGAAAGCCCCAAGCUUAACUUGGGAACUGCCAUUGAUACUGAUGGUCUUGAGUACAUUUGAGGUGGGCGGAAUGUGUCAUGUAGCGGUGAAAUGCUUAGAUAUGACACAGAACACCGAUUGCGAAGGCAGCUCACUAAACUGUAACUGACGCUGAGGCACGAAAGCGUGGGGAGCAAACGGG